UUGAAAGGGAAACGAUUGAAGUCAGUCGGACUGACGGAGGAUCAACCUUUGAAAGCGGGUCGAGGUAUUCGAGGAGUUUAAAAGCCCUCUUGCGCUCACGUACUUCGUUUUCUUUGGUGCACUUCUUCGUAUGGUAGGUUAACAUCAAUUUUGGACGUUACAAAAUGAUCGGGGGAAUGUAGCUUCGAUUUUUUCGAAGUGUUAUAGACCUUGGUAGAUGUGACGACCGGGAUUGAGGAUUGCAACGAAUGCUUUCGGGCUAUCCGUCUGACCUCUGGUGGUUGCUUUAGGGUCGAAAGCGUGCUUACGACUUUAAAGUUGGCUAUCAAAAGGCUAGAACGUGAUUAAAUUCGUUAAGGAUGUUGACGUA
rnacentral:rRNA from 1 species